GAUGAACGCUGGCGGCGUGCCUAAUACAUGCAAGUCGAGCGAACAGAUGAGGAGCUUGCUCCUCUGACGUUAGCGGCGGACGGGUGAGUAACACGUGGAUAACCUACCUAUAAGACUGGGAUAACUUCGGGAAACCGGAGCUAAUACCGGAUAAUAUAUUGAACCGCAUGGUUCAAUAGUGAAAGACGGUUUUGCUGUCACUUAUAGAUGGAUCCGCGCCGCAUUAGCUAGUUGGUAAGGUAACGGCUUACCAAGGCAACGAUGCGUAGCCGACCUGAGAGGGGGAUCGGCCACACUGGAACUGAGACACGGUCCAGACUCCUACGGGAGGCAGCAGUAGGGAAUCUUCCGCAAAGGGCGAAAGCCUGACGGAGCAACGCCGCGUGAGUGAUGAAGGUCUUCGGAGCGUAAAACUCUGUUAUUAGGGAAGAACAAAUGUGUAAGUAACUAUGCACGUCUUGACGGUACCUAAUCAGAAAGCCACGGCUAACUACGUG
rnacentral:rRNA from 1 species